UUUCCAUCUCUCUCUCUCUCGUGCUUUCUAGAGAAGUCUCUGUUUUUCUUCGUUGCUUUGCCUCUCUUCUUCUUCAACUAAGUCCUAAUGUAAGAUGCGUGUGGUUCUUGAGAUUUGAGGUGAUAGAUUUGAUAGCUAGCACUGCAAAGUUGGGUUCUCUUUCAUUCAUGGGAACGACCCAUUUGUUGUUUUUCAUUUGGGGUGAGAUAAAGUGGAAUUUUGCAAUUUGGAUUAAUGGGUUCUGACAUUUGCAUUGUGAAUGGUUUGGGCACUCAUGAAUGGAGAAAGGGGUGGCCUCUGCGAUCUGGUGGAUUCGCUCAACUGUUGUAAGUGCGGGAAAACGUUCCACUUGAGGAAGUUUUUUAGACUCUGAGGUGUGAUUCAAAUGGACUCACAACAGAAUCUACUGAGGAGAGGCUGGUCAUCUUUGGCCACAACAAACUUGAGGAGAAGAAGAAAAGAGAGGGGAGGAAGAGGAAGAGAAAGAGGUUCUCCAAUCAAGCUUAAAGCCGUUGAAAGCAAAAACUACCAAGGUUGAGAGACGGGCCUUGCAGGAGGCACAGAGAGCUGCUAAAGCUGCUUCUUGUAGACAAAGGAUCAAGCUGAAAGUUUUGAUGAUGCCAAAGGA